rnacentral:lncRNA from 1 species
GUAACUAAAUAUCAAUUUCCUUUAGAUGCAUUUUUUCAUGGAACAAAUCACUUUUUUCCAGCAGAAUACUUCUUGUAGCACUCACACAAUAGAAGUGUUUCCCCAUAGAUAUCCAUCUCUGAGAGCAGAUUUUAUUUCUCUGCCUGAUUUCUAAAACUGCAAUCUGAUUUCCUGAAGUGGAGACCAGUGGGCCGAUAAAUGACCGUUGUACCUAUGGAUAAGAAACGGUCACAGCUGGUGACACAGAGUCCGCGUCUGCUUCUUUCUUCCCAUCUGAGAGCUACAGCUACAGCAUCCAGCCAGAUAAGCACAUUUACUGUGACACUAUUAGCAGGGAAGGUACCCUUGUCAAGGAACUAGUAGACGGGGUGGCAUAUUCCAGGCCACUACAGCCACUGCCUCUGACCUGAAAACGGAUAUAUUGGAUUUAGUCUGCCGGACAUGUGCUGAUUAUCAAGUUGCACCAUGUAAGUUGUCUUGGGAGAGAACAGGCUGCAGGGUGCUGACUACCAAGAGGCCCUGCUCUCCAAAGUCAAGAGCGACUCCAGCUCCUGGGGAGAGGCAGCUCUGUCU